CGAACGGUAGCACAGAGGAGCUUGCUCCUUGGGUGACGAGUGGCGGACGGGUGAGUAAUGCCUGGGAAACUGCCCGAUGGAGGGGGAUAACUACUGGAAACGGUAGCUAAUACCGCAUAACGUCUUCGGACCAAAGUGGGGGACCUUCGGGCCUCACACCAUCGGAUGUGCCCAGGUGGGAUUAGCUAGUAGGUGGGGUAAUGGCUCACCUAGGCGACGAUCCCUAGCUGGUCUGAGAGGAUGACCAGCCACACUGGAACUGAGACACGGUCCAGACUCCUACGGGAGGCAGCAGUGGGGAAUAUUGCACAAUGGGCGCAAGCCUGAUGCAGCCAUGCCGCGUGUAUGAAGAAGGCCUUCGGGUUGUAAAGUACUUUCAGCGGGGAGGAAGGCGGUGAGGUUAAUAGCUUCAUCGAUUGACGUUACUCGCAGAAGAAGCACCGGCUAACUCCGUGCCAGCAGCCGCGGUAAUACGGAGGGUGCAAGCGUUAAUCGGAAUUACUGGGCGUAAAGCGCACGCAGGCGGUCUGUCAAGUCGGAUGUGAAAUCCCCGGGCUUAACCUGGGAACUGCAUUCGAAACUGGCAGGCUAGAGUCUUGUAGAGGGGGGUAGAAUUCCAGG
rnacentral:rRNA from 1 species